rnacentral:rRNA from 1 species
GUGGACGCCAGUCUGCGUGGAGCCGACCUUGAAAUACCACCCUUUAAUGUUUGAUGUUCUAACGUGGACCCGUAAUCCGGGUUGCGGACAGUGUCUGGUGGGUAGUUUGACUGGGGCGGUCUCCUCCUAAAGAGUAACGGAGGAGCACGAAGGUUGGCUAAUCCUGGUCGGACAUCAGGAGGUUAGUGCAAUGGCAUAAGCCAGCUUGACUGCGAGCGUGACGGCGCGAGCAGGUGCGAAAGCAGGUCAUAGUGAUCCGGUGGUUCUGAAUGGAAGGGCCAUCGCUCAACGGAUAAAAGGUACUCCGGGGAUAACAGGCUGAUACCGCCCAAGAGUUCAUAUCGACGGCGGUGUUUGGCACCUCGAUGUCGGCUCAUCACAUCCUGGGGCUGAAGUAGGUCCCAAGGGUAUGGCUGUUCGCCAUUUAAAGUGGUACGCGAGCUGGGUUUAGAACGUCGUGAGACAGUUCGGUCCCUAUCUGCCGUGGGCGCUGGAAGACUGAGGGGGGCUGCUCCUAGUACGAGAGGACCGGAGUGGACGCA